rnacentral:rRNA from 1 species
UACGAAGGGAGCUAGCGUUGUUCGGAAUUACUGGGCGUAAAGCGCGCGUAGGCGGACCUGCAAGUCGGGGGUGAAAGCCCGAGGCUCAACCUCGGAACUGCCUUCGAUACUGCGGGUCUCGAGUCCGGGAGAGGUGAGUGGAAUUCCUAGUGUAGAGGUGAAAUUCGUAGAUAUCGGGAGGAACACCAGUGGCGAAGGCGGCGACCUGGGCCAAUAUUGACGCUGAGGUGCGAAAGCGUGGGGAGCAAACAGG